CCCACUUCUUAUAUAUAUUAUAAGAGUCAGCCCAAACCCAUCUCCAAGUCCAUUCUUAUUCCCAAGCCCAUUCUUCAUUUAAUCUCUAUCUAAACCCUAACCUUAAUUCACAAUAUCUCUUAUCCUUACUCACACAGCACUACCCUUGCCGCAAAACAAAUUCCCCAAACACAACUCCCACAGUCCCACUUAGUAGAGCUGCAAAAUCAGAAAAACAAGGAACCCAUCGAUCGGCGAUCGUAAAAUAUUACUCCUCUCAGGACAUGAAUGAAUUCAGCAACAAAGUGACAAGCUGCAAAGGAAAAUCUUUUCUUUUUCUGGUGAAGAUAGACAAUACUCAACAAUAAGUCGUGAAAACUUAUUUUGCGGUGGAAGAAUUAAACGAAUUGACACUUGACAAUGAUUCAUUUCAUGAAGAAAUGAGAUAUGCAAAAAAAAUAAAGAUUGAGAAAUAAAUAAUUUAGGAAUACUUUUAUUUUCAAAUAGUUAUAGUUUUAGAUUUUCUAAUAUAUUCUGUUUCUUUUGAGGUGACAAUUAUUACAAUCUAAAAAUUGUUAGUACC